UAAGAGGCUUUUAUAAAAGCCAUGUUUAGAUACCUUGAAUAAUCAU
rfam:Physcomitrella patens subsp. patens PHYPAscaffold_7 genomic scaffold, whole genome shotgun sequence.